rnacentral:rRNA from 1 species
GAGGAAGUAAAAGUCGUAACAAGGUUUCCGUAGGUGAACCUGCGGAAGGAUCAUUAUCGUGGGGCUUCGGCCCCGUUGAGAUAACACCCUUGCCUUUUUGAGUACCGUCCGUUUCCUCGGCAGGCCCGCCUGCCAAUGGGGACAACUACAACGCCCUGAAGCACCUGUAACUCGUCUGAUAAAACAAACAAAAUCAAAACUUUCAACAACGGAUCUCUUGGUUCUGGCAUCGAUGAAGAACGCAGCGAAAUGCGAUAAGUAGUGUGAAUUGCAGAAUUCAGUGAAUCAUCGAAUCUUUGAACGCACAUUGCGCCCUUUGGUAUUCCUUAGGGCAUGCCUGUUCGAGCGUCAUAUAAUUACUCAAGCAAAGCUUGGUUAUGGGUGCCUGUCCCGCCCCGUGCGUGGACUCACCUCAAAUCCAUUGGCGGCCCCCCGCCGGCCACGAGCGCAGCAGAAACGCGGUCUCGUGCCCCGGUAGGGCGGCUCCCAGAAGCAAACCCCCCAUUUUUGACCUCGGAUCAGGUAGGGAUACCCGCUGAACUUAAGCAUAUCAAUA